rnacentral:rRNA from 1 species
UGAAACCGUGUACGUACAAGCAGUGGGAGCCUCUUAAUGGGGUGACUGCGUACCUUUUGUAUAAUGGGUCAGCGACUUAUAUUCUGUAGCAAGGUUAACCGAAUAGGGGAGCCGAAGGGAAACCGAGUCUUAACUGGGCGUUAAGUUGCAGGGUAUAGACCCGAAACCCGGUGAUCUAGCCAUGGGCAGGUUGAAGGUUGGGUAACACUAACUGGAGGACCGAACCGACUAAUGUUGAAAAAUUAGCGGAUGACUUGUGGCUGGGGGUGAAAGGCCAAUCAAACCGGGAGAUAGCUGGUUCUCCCCGAAAGCUAUUUAGGUAGCGCCUCGUGAAUUCAUCUCCGGGGGUAGAGCACUGUUUCGGCAAGGGGGUCAUCCCGACUUACCAACCCGAUGCAAACUGCGAAUACCGGAGAAUGUUAUCACGGGAGACACACGGCGGGUGCUAACGUCCGUCGUGAAGAGGGAAACAACCCAGACCGCCAGCUAAGGUCCCAAAGUCAUGGUUAAGUGGGAAACGAUGUGGGAAGGCCCAGACAGCCAGGAUGUUGGCUUAGAAGCAGCCAUCAUUUAAAGAAAGCGUAAUAGCUCACUGGUCGAGUCGGCCUGCGCGGAAGAUGUAACGGGGCUAAACCAUGCACCGAAGCUGCGGCAGCGACACUAUGUGUUGUUGGGUAGGGGAGCGUUCUGUAAGCCUGUGAAGGUGGCCUGUGAGGGUUGCUGGAGGUAUCAGAAGUGCGA